rnacentral:rRNA from 1 species
AACGAACGCUGGCGGCAGGCCUAACACAUGCAAGUCGAGCGAGGACUUCGGUCCUAGCGGCGGACGGGUGAGUAACGCGUGGGAACGUGCCCCUUGGUACGGAAUAGCCCCGGGAAACUGGGAGUAAUACCGUAUGAGCUCUACGGAGGAAAGAUUUAUCGCCAAGGGAUCGGCCCGCGUUGAAUUAGGUAGUUGGUGGGGUAAUGGCCUACCAAGCCGACGACCCAUAGCUGGUUUGAGAGGAUGAUCAGCCACACUGGGACUGAGACACGGCCCAGACUCCUACGGGAGGCAGCAGUGGGGAAUCUUAGACAAUGGGCGCAAGCCUGAUCUAGCCAUGCCGCGUGAGCGAUGAAGGCCUUAGGGUUGUAAAGCUCUUUCAGCUGGGAAGAUAAUGACUGUACCAGCAGAAGAAGCCCCGGCUAACUCCGUGCCAGCCGCCGCCGUAA